rnacentral:rRNA from 1 species
AAACCUGAGAAACCCGAAAGAUCGAAUGGGGAGAUUCAUCGUCAGCGAUUUCGGUGCUCGUGCGACUCGCGAUGUGCGGGACCUCGGUCCAGCGGCACGCGUUCGCAUGUUUUUCAUUGCCGAAAUCGUCGGCGUGCACUUCUCCCCUAGUAGGACGUCGCGACCCGUUGGGUGUCGGUCUACGGCACGGCAGGACAGCCUGUCUCGCGCGCGCUUCACGGCGUCGCGCGGGGCAGACCUCCGUUCGCCCGACCGGCUGCCCGGCGGUACUCGCAAGGUAUCUGGCCGCAGACAUUCGAACUGCGUCCGGCCCGUCGCAAGCGCGGCAAGUGCUCUCCCGGUCGUACGGAUCUGACGCCGUCACCGGGCCUUGUCAGCUGUUGGCAGACGGUGUCCUCGGACAGGCUAAGAUACCGGUCAGCGACGCUACUGCUUUGGGUACUUUCAGGACCCGUCUUGAAACACGGACCAAGGAGUCUAACAUGUGCGCGAGUCAUUGGGAUCUCGUAAGCCUAAAGGCGCAAUGAAAGUGAAAAAUUCAAGGGAGGAUGGGGCGCGUCACGAUGCGCCUCCGCACUCCCGGGGCGUCGAGUUCUCAU